AAACAACGUAAUAUCCGAAUGAGAUUGUAUAGU
rnacentral:guide_RNA from 1 species